CAAUAUCUAAACCCCUAAACCGCCAUACCUAGUUCAUCAAAAAUUGCAAACGUUAAUUGUUCACAGAAGAGUGGCACCUUUAGCAACAACAAUAGUGCUGUUCUACAGUACUUGGGUCUUCAAAGUGAAAAUGACAUAGGGAUCCUUCCAUUUUAGCUGUUACAAAUCAAGCAGCGAACAUAUAUACGUACACUAGCAUAUGUCGUACGUGAUCGAGCUUUAAUUUAACUGAAAUAGCUAGGUAGAAUUACAUUACGUUAUUUUAUCUUGACAAAUCAAAUGCAUAUUGAGAGAAAACACUUCACCAUAAGGCUCUUAAUUAACUCUAACAAUGCAGUCCAUGCAAGAGAUGACGGAGCAUGCUGCAUGCACAUAACUAAUGGCAACUCUAGUAUGCGUCGACCAAUAGGUAGUGAAUAAAUCCUGGAGACAUGACAGAAAUUAGACCCUAAAUUAAUCAAAUUAUUUUUUAGUUAUCAUAUUGGCCUCUCAAGCUUUUUAUCCUUAAUUUUUCAUCGUUCCAUAUAGUACGUACGUAGUUUCUGACUUUCAUUGAUGCUAUUAUAUUUUUCAUGCUAAUCUCGUAUUUUCAUUUCUUUUUGUUUUUGAUGUGCGGGCAUUUUGAAUUAAUGUACCAGUUCGUAUAGUAACCCGGCCAUUUUGGAACCCAUAAAAAAGCCAUGCAACCAAGAAAUCAUUUCUCGUUGCAAAAAAAAAAAAAGAAAAAAAAAAAGGACCAUUCUGUGUAUAUGUUUAUCACAAUGAGAGAGACUGAGAGAGGGAGAGGAAGAGGGAGAGAUGUAUUACAGAGAAAAUCAGUGUUGUGCGUGGAGGCCUUUGGCAUCAACAAAGCUAGAACUACAAGCGUCCCAUAAUAAGCCAUGUUUGGCUGGAAUGGAAUUGUCGACAGAAACAAACGGAGAGAAUAAAAGGUGGAAUGAGUGAGGGCAGUGCUUUCUCGAUCAACUUUUUAUUUUAUUUUUUUAUCAGGUUAACCUUCAUUGAUAAACGAAGAGUACAAGAGUUCGGAACCAAAGUUACCGGCAAACACCCGGAUCACAAAGUUCACAGGAUUUCUCGAUCAACUUGAAUCAAUUAUGGUUGACCGUGCGGAACUGUAUGUGUUGGACUUGCAUUAAAUGACAAGUCAUUCAAGUUUGCUUCCUCUUUUCAAAGGAAAUAACUUGGGUCACUUAUGGGUGACAAACACCAAUGUGAGAUGGACAAAUGUCAACAAUAAUCAUAAAUAAACAUGUUAAAUACCCAAAACCCCCAUAUUAUAUUCUUAAAUUACAGCCAAACCUUUUAAAAUAGAUAUGUGUCAUAUGUUUAUUGGUUGUGGUCACCUUAAGGUGACAAGCCCUUGUCACCGAAGUCGAGUUCAUUUUCAAAUUUGAUCACUUUUUUGUUUUUCUAGUUUUUGUCCCUCACCAUUGUGCGUUGUGCCCAAGAUGUCAACUAGCAGAUGAGAUGUCUUUGUACGUAACAUGGUGAUUACGUGCAAUUAGUGUUGCGGUGUUGGAGAAAGCGAGCUUUUAUGAGAAGUUGAAUACGGGUACGUGGUUCAAUUUCAUUGAUGAAAUGAAGAUGUUGGUAAUUAUUAUGUGAUAUAAUUAGAAGGAGAGAAAUAUGGUGAUGCAUGCAUGGUAGCCAACCUAGACCCCCUGAUAUAUUGUUCACUAUUUGUGUGUCUAUUUGGGAGAGUAUGAUGGUUUCUCAAGUGGAUGGGGUGUUGAAUGAGGCUAGGUUACCCACGGUGUGCCCGCGGUGGCAGACACCUAGUCCAAGCUCUUGGAAAGUAAACUGUGACGCUUCUGUGGUAAAUAAUGGUGAGAGGGUUGGUCUGGGAGUGGUUAUAAGGAACUGGGCAGGUGAUUUGAGGUUGGCAGUGGGUGAGCGUAGUUUGAGGAGGCUUAACCCACUUGCAGCUGAGCUCCAGGCAAUUAUUCUGGGGUUGGAAACGGUUAUUAAUUGAAAGAAGUUGGCCAAUUUCUUGCAUUGAAACGGAUUGCUUGGAGACAGCUAGGCUUGUGAAUAGAAGUGCGAAAAUUCUUCUACGCACAAAGUGUAAUUGAACCAAGCAACUAAUAUAUAAUAUUUUGAUCCGAUCAUCUAUGUCGUAUUAUCAUGCAUGUAUUCUAAUACCGUUAAUAUAAUUGAAAAAAAAAAAAAUUACUAAGUGUGUCUAAUACAGGAGAUGAGGACGUAGGGUCAAAUAAGAUCGAGGUACUCUUAUUAUGAGCGUUUAUGAGGUACUCUUAUUAUGAGCGUUUAUGAGAUACUCUUAUUAUGAGCGUUUAAUUUGAUCGGAUCAAAAAUGAAAAUGAAAGGAAGAAAUUUAAGGUCUCUAGUCUUCAUUGGAUCUUCGCACAUGACGAUUUGAGGACUUGCAUAUUAAUGGUACAAGUACAUCUUGGUGUGUAGAAUCCGCUACGGAUGCAAAUAGGGCGGCUCAUGUUGUGGCAACUAAAGUAGCCCGUUUAGAGGGGCGUCGUUUUUUUGUUAGGGGUUGGGCCCGAUUGACUCAUUAAUGUCAUCAAUGGUGACAGACCCGUAACUGACUAUGGUAGUAGGGGAGCAUGUAGGACAACUUUGUCUACCACCGAUAUUUCUCUUUGUUUGCAAUGUUCUUAUUUUUUUUCAACAAGAGUCUAUUGUGAGUCGAAUUUAUCAUGUCUCACACAAAGCGGAAACUUAUGUCAAUGUACCAAAUUUAGUCACCUCUUGUGCUAAUAACUGCUUGGGUUUGUGUCCUAGUCCGCUACAUGGGCAUCAUUUAGAGCUCAUAACACUUUAUUAGUGACAGUCUCAGUAUAAAUUUUUAAUUUCUUUUUUUGUUACAAUUUCAGUUUUAUUUUUGUUUAUUAUCAAAUGUAGUUUUCAUAAGAAAGAUCACAAAUUAUGUUGUGAACAUACCUUACCCUCCAAGGAAUAGGUUCCGCAAGUAUUCCUAUUUUUUAUCCAAAUCACAAGAUUUUCUUAUCCUUUCCUACCAAGGAAACAAGAAAGUAUUAUCCUCCUCACAAGAGGUUUAGUACUUGCUUUACGCCUAUAAAUAAGGGCCUUAUUAGUAAUGCCAACAUCCACAAUCAGUGGCGGAUCCAUGACUAAAAUCUCACAUGGGCUAAAUGCAACGCAAAAAAAAAUUUAACCAACAGUGCGAAAAAUUUUGGUUCAUUAAAAAAGAACACACAUACAUAAGGGGACGUAGCAAAUCUUACCCUCAAACGCAUUUACAUGAACAAAAAUUAGACACAAUAUAAUACAAGAAACACAAUUAAAAACUAACUAAACUGUACUCUACGAGGCCCCAAAUUAAAGCUUCAAAAUCUUUAAUCACCAUCUCAUUGUCAACUGCUUCAACAAAUUCUUUUUCAAUAUGAAGCACCAUGCAAUCAUCAAGAAACUCAUCCUCUAUCUUGUUUCUAAGUUUGUUUUUGAUGAUGUUCAUAGAUGAAAAAGCUCUCUCAGUGGUUGCAGUAGAAACAAGAAGAGUAAACACUUAAACAAAUCAACCUAUAGAUCAUAGGAUAGAAGUCUAAUUUUCUUCUUUAAACAAGUUGCCGACACAAAUCAGAUAUAAAAUAUAAGGUGUGGAAUGCUACAUCCUGAGUCAUAUCUUUCUUAUAAUAUGCACACUCUAAUUCCAAAGAAAGAAAGUCAUCUUGCACAAAAUCUUGAGGAUAAAAGCUUUUAGCAAGAAGGAGUACCUUAGCAAGAACUUGAACAUGAUGAUGGUCGAACUUUACUGAACCAUGUGCAGAUAUCUUUUGAUCUAGGCCUUUUGACACGACUAAUUUGUUCAUCUGACAUUUUGUAAUUUCAAAUAAAAUUUCCAGCAAUUCAGCAAUUCAUUACUUAACAAGACAACAAUUCAAUUGAAUAAGCAUACUAGCAGCCUAGUUCAUUCAAUUGACUUCAAAUUCUAUUUUUUUUUUUCGAUUUCAUACUUCAAAUUCAAAUUCUAUAUUAAGAAAGAACACAAAUACAAUGGUCUCAGACUCUCAGUGAACACAAAUACCCAGAAGGAACACAAGUAAUAAGAAAUAAGAAAUAAGAAAUAAGAAUACACACCUGGACCUGGUCUCAGUGGUCUGCAGCCGAGCAGGAGCAGAGCAGCAGAUGGCGAGCAGGCGAAACAGCUGAGCAGUCGCUCACGCAGUCACGCUCGUGUUUCGACUUUGGAAGUUUGGAUCUGAGAGACUGAGACGAGUCGUAUGGCUGGACUGCUGGAGCGACACACUCACACACAGUCGUAUGGCUAAUUUUUUUUUAUUGGGUCUGGUAGAAUUUUCGGCCCAAAGAUCUCACUAGGCUCUAGCCCAGGCCGCCACUGUCCACAAUGACCUGGGACGUUCUUCAAUCUUUGAGUUGAAAACCUGUAACUGGUAAGGUCUACUUCUUUUGAGUUCUACUUGUUUAUUUUUUUUCUCGGUAAUGGUUGAUGAUGUGUACUUCAAAUACCGUAUAGGGCAAGCUCUGCUCUGUAGUUUGUACACACAAUGGAUAAAGUCCGCCUUAUACAUUGAUCUUGGUAAACGUUGAAAUUAGAUACAGUUGAUGGAGUUAGAAAAGAGGAUUUUGAACGAAAUCUUACCAUAUCAUUCUGGAAGUGUAGUGGAUUAACGACUUGACGUUAAUAUGUUUGAAGUUCUUGUCAAUUAAUAUAUAUACAUGAGUUAGCACAAUUACAUGGUACAAAAGCAAUUGUUGGAUCAUAGACACAAAACUUUUCACAUUUUAAAUUUAAGUUGUUAAUCCGUGAAAAUUCCAGAAUAAUAUGGUAGGAUUUUAUUCUAGUGUCGACUCUCUCUAUUAAUCUUCAUUAACAAUAUACAAC
rnacentral:lncRNA from 1 species